CUUCACCAAGGCUACCGGUAACGAUAGAGGCUAGAGGAGGGGCUGUUCUUGGCUUUUGGAGAGGGAGGAAGAAGAAAAGAAUAAGAAGAAGAAGAAGAAGAAGAAGUAGGGGAAGGAAGACGCCGACGCAAGGGAGUAGGGAGGAAGAAGUUUCAGUGGUUGGAAAUGGAAGGUGUGAGGGAAAGGGAGGUAGUGGCGACGGAGAAAAAGGGAGGAAAGGAAUGGGGUCAAAACGAAAUUUU
rnacentral:lncRNA from 1 species